rnacentral:rRNA from 3 species
UUAUCGGAGAGUUUGAUCCUGGCUCAGGACGAACGCUGGCGGCGUGCCUAAUACAUGCAAGUCGAGCGGAC